CCCUGUGGGUUGGGAAAUGAGUAGAGGCUGACCUCUGACCUCUACCCAUUGCAUGCCUCCCAG
ensembl:miRNA Mir7066 microRNA 7066